CAAGAGCGUAUGUAAAAGUUGUUGCAGUUAAAAAGCUCGUAGUUGAACCUUGGGUUUGGUUGGCCGGUCCGCUUUUUUGCGAGUACUGGAUUCAACUGAGCCUUUCCUUCUGGCUAACCAGUCGUUUCGGCGGCUGGCGAACCAGGAUUUUUACUUUGAGAAAAUUAGAGUGUUCAAAGCAGGCAUUAGCUUGAAUAUAUUAGCAUGGAAUAAUAGAAUAGGACGUUAUGGUUCUAUUUUGUUGGUUUCUAGGACCAUCGUAAUGAUUAAUAGGGACGGUCGGGGGCAUCAGUAUUCAGUUGUCAGAGGUGAAAUUCUUGGAUUUACUGAAGACUAACUACUGCGAAAGCAUUUGCCAAGGACGUUUUCAUUAA
rnacentral:rRNA from 1 species